rnacentral:rRNA from 1 species
CCUACGGGGGGGCUGCAGUGGGGAAUAUUGGACAAUGGGCGAAAGCCUGAUCCAGCCAUGCCGCGUGUGUGAAGAAGGCCUUCGGGUUGUAAAGCACUUUCAGUGGGGAAGAAAGCCUUGGGGCUAAUACCCUCGAGGAAGGACAUCACCCACAGAAGAAGCACCGGCUAACUCCGUGCCAGCAGCCGCGGUAAUACGGAGGGUGCGAGCGUUAAUCGGAAUUACUGGGCGUAAAGCGCGCGUAGGCGGUCUGAUAAGCCGGUUGUGAAAGCCCCGGGCUCAACCUGGGAACGGCAUCCGGAACUGUCAGGCUAGAGUGCAGGAGAGGAAGGUAGAAUUCCCGGUGUAGCGGUGAAAUGCGUAGAGAUCGGGAGGAAUACCAGUGGCGAAGGCGGCCUUCUGGACUGACACUGACGCUGAGGUGCGAAAGCGUGGGUAGCAAACAGGAUUAGAUACCCUGGUAGUC